GAACUGAUCCAAAGUUGGACGCAUAACCAAGAGUUGGCAAACACAUUGGCCAAAUUUGGUCCCUGCCUGAUUCUCCGCAGUCCACAAGUGUUUAAACCUGUAACAUUUGUGCGCAGUGGCGGCAUUUCAGCUUCUGGAAUUUCUG